UCCUCCUUAGCUCAGUUGGUUAGAGCAUCUGACUGUUAAUCAGAGGGUCGCUGGUUCGAGCCCAGCAGGAGGAGC
rnacentral:tRNA from 19 species